rnacentral:rRNA from 1 species
AUGAACGCUAGCGGCAGGCUUAACACAUGCAAGUCGGGCGGCAGCGGGGUGGGAGCUUGCUCCCACUGCCGGCGAGCGGCGCACGGGUGAGUAACACGUAUGCAACCUGCCCCUGUCAGGGGGACAACCCGCCGAAAGGCGGGCUAAGCCCGCGUAUAUCGCCCCGGGGCAUCCCGGGGGGAGGAAAGGAGCGAUCCGGACAGGGAUGGGCAUGCGGCGCAUUAGCUGGUCGGCGGGGUAACGGCCCACCGAGGCGACGAUGCGUAGGGGUUCUGAGAGGAAGGCCCCCCACACUGGUACUGAGACACGGACCAGACUCCUACGGGAGGCAGCAGUGAGGAAUAUUGGUCAAUGGGCGGGAGCCUGAACCAGCCAAGCCGCGUGAGGGAAGAAGGUACAGCGUAUCGUAAACCUCUUUUGUCAGGGAACAAAGGCGGGGACUAGUCCCCGGAUGAGGGUACCUGAAGAAAAAGCAUCGGCUAACUCCGUGCCAGCAGCCGCGGUAAUACAGAGGAUGCCAGCGUUAUCCGGAUUUAUUGGGUUUAA